rnacentral:rRNA from 1 species
AACGAACGCUGGCGGCAGGCUUAACACAUGCAAGUCGAGCGCCCCGCAAGGGGCGCGGCAGACGGGUGAGUAACGCGUGGGAAUCUACCCAUCUCUACGGAAUAACGCAUGGAAACGUGUGCUAAUACCGUAUACGUCCUUCGGGAGAAAGAUUUAUCGGAGAUGGAUGAGCCCGCGUUGGCUUAGCUAGUUGGUGGGGUAAAGGCCUACCAAGGCGACGAUCCAUAGCUGGUAUGACAGGAUGAUCAGCCACACUGGGACUGAGACAAGGCCCAGACUCCUACGGGAGGCAGCAGUGGGGAAUAUUGGACAAUGGGCGCAAGCCUGAUCCAGCCAUGCCGCGUGAGUGAUGAAGGCCCUAGGGUUGUAAAGCUCUUUCACCGGUGAAGAUAAUGACGGUAACCGGAGAAGAAGCCCCGGCUAACUUCGUGCCAGCCGCCGCUGUAACAC